GAUAUUGAGAGUAAUUUCAGCCUUUGUACAAAUAGGAUAACUAAAAGGCCUAGACAAGUGGUGAAGAUAGCUAUUCAUAGUGUUAUGCAUCUUCAAGGAUAACAGAUGAUUAUUUUUACCUCACUAUGAGGGACAUCUUUGUGAGCUCUGAACACUUUUACAGCUGUUGGGAUGCUAAUGGGAACUUCAUGUGUACCCAGCACAAGUGCUCUCAAGAAGAAAACAAAUGUCAAACUGAGAUGCCAGUGAAAUUAAUAGUCAUUAAAUGAAAGUGACACUGCUGAAAAUGAAUCCUCCUCCUUCUCCCAAAAGCUAAGUAGCUCUUCUUUUGCUUGCAACUCACACUUGCAGAAGACCACACAGCUCCAGCAAGGCAGCCUCCGUUCCCUAAUCCCCACUCGAAUGUG